rnacentral:rRNA from 1 species
AGUUUGAUCCUGGCUCAGAUUGAACGCUGGCGGCAUGGUUAAGACAUGCAAGUCGAACGAUUAAAGCUCCUUCGGGAGUGUAUAAAGUGGCGAAAGGGCGAGGAAUCCGUUCCUACAUACCCCCAGGUCAGGGAUAGCCCAGGGAAACUUGGAGUAAUACCUGAUGUGGUCUUCGGAUCAAAGACUUCGGUCGCCCGGAGCGAGGAAUGUCUUAUCAGGUAGUUGGUGAGGUAACGGCUCACCAAGCCUAAGACGGGUAGCGGGUGUGAGAGCAUGACCCGCCGCAUCGGGACUGAGACACUGCCCGGACUCCUACGGGAGGCUGCAGUAACGAAUAUUCCGCAAUGCGCGAAAGCGUGACGGAGCAAUGCCGCGUGCAGGAUGAAGCCUUUCGGGGUGUAAACUGCUGUCAGGGGACAGGAACUCAAUGACCAUCCCCAAAGGAAGGGCCGGCUAACUUCGUGCCAGCAGCCGCGGUAAUACGAAGGGCUCGAGCGUUAAUCGGAAUCACUGGGCUUAAAGCGUACGCAGGCGGACUUGAAGGCAUCUUGUGAAAUCCCUCGUCUCAACCGAGGAACUGCAGGGUGAACCACAAGUCUUGAGGCAAGUAGGGGCUGUCGGAACGCUAGGUGGAGUGGUGAAAUGCGUUGAUAUCUAGCGGAACGCCGAAGGUGAAGACAGGCCACUGGAUCUGUUCUGACGCUCAUGUACGAAAGCGUGGGUAGCGAACGGGAUUAGAUACCCCGGUAGUCCACGCCGUAAACGAUGUGCACUAGAUCGAGGGGGUUUUGACGCCGCUCUCGGCCGAAGCAAAAGUGUUAAGUGCACCGCCUGGGGAGUACGGUCGCAAGGCUAAAACUCAAAGGAAUUGACGGGGGCUCACACAAGCGGUGGAGCAUGUGGCUUAAUUCGAAGCAACGCGAAGAACCUUAUCCUGGGUUUGACAUGCAUGGAUUAGCUCUGUGAAAGCAGAGCCACACCUUUUGGUGGAACGUGCACAGGUGCUGCAUGGCUGUCGUCAGCUCGUGCUGUGAAGUGUCGGGUUAAGUCCCUUAACGAGCGCAACCCUUGUCGCUAGUUGCUAGCAGGUAAUGCUGAGGACUCUAGCGAGACUGCCGGUGUCAAACCGGAGGAAGGUGGGGAUGACGUCAAGUCCGCAUGGCCUUUAUGCCCAGGGCUGCACACGUGCUACAAUGGCAAGUACAGAACGACGCAAUACCGCAAGGUGGAGCAAAUCGCUAAAGCCGGCCCCAGUUCGGAUUGAGGGCUGCAACUCGCCCUCAUGAAGUUGGAAUCGCUAGUAAUCGCGGAUCAGCAUGCCACGGUGAAUACGUUCCCGGGUCUUGUACACACCGCCCGUCAAGCCAUGGAAGUCGGCAGUACCCGAAGCCGGUGGCCCAACUCUUAGGAGAGGGAGCCGUCGAAGGUAAGGCUGGUAACUAGGGCUAAGUCGUAACAAGGUAACC